GCGCUCCUGCCAGCUGGGAGGGACCUGGUGGAGGUGGCGCCCUCCAUAAUAAGGGAACCAGAGAACUGGGCAGCCUUGCCAGAAGAAAGAACACACAGGUUCCUCAAGACACCCACUUAUAUGGCAGUGAGCAAGGCUAAAAAAGGAGCGCUCCCCUGCCCCAGAGGACAAAGGCUGGCAAGAGGAAGGCACGCAACGCCGCCCAGCUCAGGCUCCGACGGUUCUUCUGUGCUUCCCUCGGACCCAGUAGUGGUUUGAACGAAGGAGUGCCCCGGGGACACCCUGGCCCCAAAGGGGUGACUCGGCUUUCUGUGGAGCAUGACACCAGCAGCCAGGCCACUCACGUCUGGAGGUCACCGUUUCCCUCUGUUCUCCCGGCAGCGGAUUCCAGAUCUUUUUUACAGUUUUUCUUUUGAAAAACCAGAAGAGUCCUUAUUUUAGAAAUCCUUGAAAAUACACUGAAGAAUAAAGGAGAAUCAUUUAUAAUCGGCAAUUUAACUACUGGUAAA